GGCCCACCCCUCCCCUCCUGCUUGACCUAGGUUAUCAAAUGUUGCCAUUAGAGCUGACCGGAGUCGGAGAGAAGUGAGUGGAAAUGGAUCAACAACAAAAGAGCAAAGGGGGGUGCAGAAAAGCUGCAAGAAAAAAAGGUAAAAACAAGUGGACAGCAGAAUGUGCCAAACUUACUGCCAUGUUUGCCAUCGCCACCUCAAGUUGGACUGCGGCAGCAGGUGCGGCCCCUGUCCCCCAGGGGUGUUCCAGGGAUGUGCCUUUCAUUGGUGUGGACUUCACAGGCAUGCUUCACAUUUAGCACCAAGGUCCAUGUAACCUUUUGUCUCAGCAUAUGUUCCACUUUGAUGAGGAGCUCUUUAUUUUACAGGGAUAUAUGGUCUUACUGUGGUCUUAAUUGUGUAUUUGUGUAAACAAUAUAUUUCAUUAAACAUUGAAAAGACAUCUCUAGCAGUGUUUCUUUGACAUCCACUUUCACUUCAAGAUGGGAAUUAUGACACUGUGGCCAUCUCUCCCAAGAUGCAGUGGCGGAGCCAGGGGGUGGCC